CCAUUUAAUUAUGACAGCUCAGUUCUAGAUUUUGUUUAGGCCACUGACGAGAAAGUCACUGAAGGAUGGGAUCGGCUACCAUGGAAACAGUGAAGACAGAAGAGCACCAGCAGCAUUUCACAGGGGCCAGGACUAAAAAAGACAUUCUGCAAAGAGAAGUCUUUAUCACCCUUGUUAAAUGUUAUUUUCAUGCAACUUCCUCAAGGGGAGAUGACUCAGUGAGAGAGUAAACUAUAAUGCUCCAUUGACACCAGUGGCCAUAUGUGCUGGUAAUCAGGCAACAAGAAAGAAACAGCAGAUCUGAUGUUUCCUGCCAACAGUUGGUCAUUUCUCCCCAUCAAGCAGCCUGAAGGCAGCAGAGACAUUUCAGAGACUCAGUGUAGACAUGUGAACUUCAUUCUUUACCCUGGAGACUGAGCACUUCUGUAGUCCAUUGCUGCCAAACAGCAGUGGAGACCUGAAAUGGAUCUGGAAUGCAUGCUGUGGAGACACUGGGAAAAUCUGGGAAAAGUCAAGG